AAGAGCUAUUUGAAAAUAAUUGACAAUUUGGCAAUAAUAAGGAUCUUUCCAAUAAUGAAAAUUGGAAAAAACAUAGCCUCAAACUAUGUAAUAGGGUUUUCAAAAUGCAGGCAUUCUCUCCAUACAAGAUUGACAAGUACCACAUCACGAACAAACGUUUACAACAGAUAUAGAAGUGACAAUAAACAAGUUUUUCAAGAUUUACAAUGAACAGCGUGAUUUGGCUUCUUGCUCUAAAAUAGAAACAUCUGCAGCACUAACUUGGGGACAAUCCCACCAAUUCAAUGACAAUGGACAUAUUUUCUACCCUUCACUCCUUUGCGGCUACCAAUCCUUCAGUAAUCUGAACACAACAUCAGUAAUGCCAAGGCAAAUACCAUGAUACUUUGUUCAUGAUCAUCUCCUUAUCGAAGAAGUAAAUGUAAAACUGGCCUGCAAGAUAAAAGCAUUUCCCGAAUGUACAACCUGGAAUCGUCGGUGCUCUUAAUAUUCAGUUAUUGGUAAUACUGCAGGAUGAAAUAUAGUGCAAACUCUUAUAAAUUUUAAUACAUUCAACAACUAAGAUUUUGAGCCAUGAGAUUAUAUGCCAAUAGUUACAUUUAAGCUUAUUAGAGCAUAUAUCAAUCAUAAAAAGGUAGAAAGAAUAAGCUUCGGGACACAAUAAGGGCUUAAACUACUUAUUUGAAAACAGUGAAACAACUCAUUAAAUCUAACUAAUUUUAAAUGAUCCAGUUUUAAGGAUUAAUACAGUACAACUAAGAGAAGGCUAUAUCAUCAAUCAAGAAGAUUCCACCGUAUAAACUUGACAAUUAGAGACAACUGUCACUGCUCCGUCACAUACCAUGGUCGACAUGAGCAAUGACAGGCAUGUUAUGGAUAUUUUUUAUCCAUAAUUCCGCGGAGCUCCUCCGUUCUAAACUUCACCAUCUUGACUGCUUUUGAAUGUCAGACGGGAAUACCAUUCCUUCUCUAAUAAUAGCAAGCUAUCAGAACCAAGCAAUAAUAUAGUGUGAAUAACUGAACAUGGAAAGCGACAGUAAUAUAUUAACGAUCCUUUAAAGUAAUUAAGACCACAAUUGUCUACUCAAAGAAAAGUAUAGGAUUGAAAGCCAUAUCCCGAAGGGGUGUAUACUAAAGCAAAAUUUACCAAUCAACGGAUAGUGACUAAUAUUAUAUCAUUAGGUGAUACCUUAAGUUCCCCUCUGAAAAUGUUCUCAAUCUCAACAUUGUAUUACACAAUGAACGCCCAGAUAGAUUUGAUGAAGCUUCGAUUCUGUACUGGGAUAGAGAUGGAAUAUAUUUAUCUUGCUCAAAUAUAAAUCCAGAAAGUUAGAAAAAUUAAUAGAAGGACUGCACAAAAAUACGAAAGAACCAAUACAGCUGAUAGGUGCCUUUUCUCCAUAUAUGAUAUACCUGAGCAUGUAACCUAUUUUUCUACAAGAUCUCUUUGCCUUUCUAAUGAUAAUUUCAAGAUUCAAAUAUCAGAUAUCGUGCUCACAGAUUUGGUGUAGACUGUAGAAAGUGUGAUAUGACCAGAAUAUCAGCUGGCAUGCUCAAUAUUGGGGCUGAUAUGACCAGAAUAUCAGUCGGUAUGCUCAAUACUGGGGCUGAUAUGACCAAAAUAUAGACCAUACUUGAUAUAAGCAGACAGCCAACACUUUAUGCGCAUCCACAUAUACUUGCAAAAAAGAAAGUUAAUUGCUCCUUUACUAUUUGUAUGCAUCCAUAGUUCCACACAUACACUCAUUAGAAAAACAGAGAACACUAAUUACUCCUCUAGCUUCUCUAGAACAUAAGAAACAACAGCUAAAAUUUGAUCCAGUGGAACCUAGGGCCAGUUCUUUUGGGCAAUUCUCCCAGAAUUGACCCCCUCCCCAGCUUCUCCCAGAAUUGCCACUUAA
rnacentral:lncRNA from 1 species